GGUCUUUCAUUCUUGGACUUGUCAUUUAAUAAUCUCAGUGGUCCUACUCCAAAAAUUUUGACAAAAGAUUACAGGAACCUUAUCCGAGUGAGUACCAAUGGCACAAUCAGUGGCAGAGUUUGAUGAGAAAAUUAAAAUAAUGUGUGAUAUUUUAUAUUCAUCUUGAGGCACUUCAACAUUUUGCUAGGGGUGCUGAUAUUAAGGGCUGAAAAGCUGUGCUGGACAAGGCCGUGCAUACUGAUCCAAAUUGCUCAGGAUACUCAAAAUACUGAUCUAAAUUGCAGUUGCUGUUUCUCAAACAGUUUCAAUUAUAUGGGAAGCAAGUAGUUCAU